AACGCGAAGAACCUUACCCAGACUUGACAUGUAGCGGACAGUGGCAGAAAUGUCAUCUCCCGAAAGGGCCGCUACACAGGUGCUGCAUGGCUGUCGUCAGCUCGUGCCGUGAGGUGUUGGGUUAAGUCCCGCAACGAGCGCAACCCUUAUCAUUAGUUGCCAACAUUUAAGGUGGGAACUCUAAUGAGACUGCCUGGGUUAACCAGGAGGAAGGUGAGGAUGAGGUCAAGUCAGCAUGGCCCUUAUGUCUGGGGCCACACACGUGCUACAAUGGCCGGUACAGAAGGCAGCAAAGCCGUAAGGUGGAGCAAAUCCCUAAAGCCGGUCUCAGUUCAGAUUGUAGUCUGCAACUCGACUACAUGAAGUUGGAAUUGCUAGUAAUGGCGGGUCAGCCACACCGCCGUGAAUACGUUCCCGGGCCUUGUACACACCGACGCGUA
rnacentral:rRNA from 1 species